AGUGAACGCUGGCGGCAGGCCUAACACAUGCAAGUCGAGCGGAUGAAGGGAGCUUGCUCCUGGAUUCAGCGGCGGACGGGUGAGUAAUGCCGAGGAAUCUGCCUGGUAGUGGGGGAUAACGUCCGGAAACGGGCGCUAAUACCGCAUACGUCCUGAGGGAGAAAGGGGGGGAGCUUCGGACCUCACGCUAUCGGAUGAGCCUAGGUCGGAUUAGCUAGUUGGUGGGGUAAAGGCCUACCAAGGCGACGAUCCGUAACUGGUCUGAGAGGAUGAUCAGCCACACUGGAACUGAGACACGGUCCAGACUCCUACGGGAGGCAGCAGUGGGGAAUAUUGGACAAUGGGCGCAAGCCUGAUCCAGCCAUGCCGCGUGUGUGAAGAAGGUCUUCGGAUUGUAAAGCCCUUUUAGUUGGGAGGAAGGGCAGUAAGUUAAUACCUUGCUGUUUUGACGUUACCAACAGAAUAAGCACCGGCUAACUUCGUG
rnacentral:rRNA from 1 species